GAUGAACGCUGGCGGCGUGCCUAAUACAUGCAAGUCGAGCGAACCACUUCGGUGGUGAGCGGCGAACGGGUGAGUAACACGUAGGUGAUCUGCCCAUCAGACGGGGACAACGAUUGGAAACGAUCGCUAAUACCGGAUAGGACGAAAGUUUAAAGGUGCUUCUGGCACCGCCGAUGGAUGAGCCUGCGGCGCAUUAGCUAGUUGGUAGGGUAAAGGCCUACCAAGGCGACGAUGCGUAGCCGACCUGAGAGGGUGAACGGCCACACUGGGACUGAGACACGGCCCAGACUCCUACGGGAGGCAGCAGUAGGGAAUAUUGCACAAUGGGGGAAACCCUGAUGCAGCG
rnacentral:rRNA from 1 species